UAUCAUUACAGGAGUGGACUGGACUUAUGUGGUCUGGGAAUCAAACCUGUGGCUUUAUGCAUGCUAGGCAAGCACUCUACCAAAGGGGCUACUCCCUUGCCCUGAGGUGAGUACUAUGUGGUUGAAACCACAUGCCCAUGGGCUCCUGGCUCCUCUGGUGCAGGUCUGGUGCAGCUUUAAGCCCAGUUCCUAGCAGGGAACUUGCUUUCCAUGGAGAUUUUAUGAUCCUCCCUUAGGUCUCAGGGUAUUCGAGCACCUUCUGGCUUAGAGGUGGCAUUUGCUGUCUGAGGGUGGCUCUCUCUGGUUCUUGUUUACAGUCACCAGAUUCACAUUUUUUUCUCCAGCUGUUCUGUUAGAAAGGUCAUGUGCAAGUUCAGCUCAGGGGUCCUCGGGCAGGAUGGCGCCUUGUGCCCUGAGAAUGUGCUUCUGUCAAGCAGAUGCACACUCUCUCAAGAAUGCUGGGAGCAAAUCCUCUCUGUCAAGAGAGGAAGGCUGCUAGCACGCAGAAGGCUGAGGGGAGAUCACUAAGGCAAGGCUAACCGCAGCCACUGGCCUGAGCUGCACCCCUGUCUUGAAAUAAUAAUAAAAAGUAAGGACCAGUGGGAUAACUCAGUGGAUAAAGGUGCUUGCUGCUCAAAUCUGGUGAGCUGGGUUCGAUCCCCUUAACCUACAUAAAGGCCGAGGAGAGAAUCAACUCUAACUCAUACGUGCCCUCACAUGUACUAGCACACAGAAAAUAGUAAAUGCAAAGAAAGCCAAGUAAUGACUCCUCUAAUAAUAAAAAGAACAAAACUUAAAAUCUACUUAGACCCAUUACAUCUUUCCCCUUUUCCUCGUCGUGUUGUGUGGGCAACAAGACGUUUGUGAGAGUUCCCAUCGAGGGAGGUCUUGGGGCCACUGCCUAGUAUGCUCUCUAAGACCGGGACUGGUUAUCACACUGGCACCAGAGAAGCGCUAAAAGUGGAAGGGCUGCGGCAGGGGGAGUGCCGGCCAGGGUGAACUUAGCCCGGUUUUCACUAAGGUAGUUCUGAAGAGAGCAGCGUUUGAUGGAAUCUUACCUAGUUCAAAGACAUUAUUUUUGGCCUCUCCUUUCUCUUCUCUCCUUUUUUUCCUCUCCCCUUUCCCCUGUGACCUCCCGUUCCAGCUGAGUCCUCCUGUCCCCAGUUGCCCCACACUGUUCUCCUUGACCGGGUCUGUGCCUUGGGAAGACUCCACUCAGUUCUCGCGAUUUGCCAAGCACUGCAUCGAUGGCCUCGCGAGAAGAGAGUUCCUUAGCCUGCCUCACAGAUAAAUGAAGCUGACCUUGAAUUCCUGGGUUCAAGUGAACCAUAGUUUCCAAAGAAGCUGGAGCUACAGGCAAAUUAGAGGAAACCAGGAACAGCUCUGAGGAGGAGAAAGCACAGGUCUGCUCCAGAGGCUGAAGAGUUUUGGCUUCUCCGUUCUCGCAUAUCUCUGGAAGUCGCCACAGUAAUGACUGCUUCCCGUGACCAGUGGUUUACGUCAUUCCUCGGUGCUGAAGUGUAUGUACCCUUUGACUGGAGUGAUUUCCACACAUUCUGAAUAACAGAGUCUUCCCCUGAGUGUAACUUGAAUUCCCUGUCUUUGGUACGCACACUCUACAAUUACCUGAGCCUUUGUGUUUUCUGUCAACGCCUCCAUUUUUUAACAAGGUGGAAAUGGAGAAAUUACUUAGAAGCCCGAACAAAAGAGAAUGUAUGUUUCCAACACUUUGUAUAAAAUGCUAUCACUUUUGCAUUUUCGUUUGUGAUUAUGAUUUCGACCUUAAGUCUAUGACAUUGCAGGGCCUACAUUCUGUACCCACCACAUGCUUACCUGUGCCCUUCAGGGCAGGACGUAUGAGGCAUGUAUGUUUCACAUUGAGGUUCUCUGAGGACAUAGGGGCAGUAAUAAGCAGAUAGAAGUGUGAGGCGCCUUCUUACCUGCAGUCGAGUAAUCCCCUGGUGUGAAUCGGAAGGCUCCUCUUUCAUGAACAUGCACGCUCAGUGGCAUCAUGGGGCUUGUAGGGCUCCUGGGGGCUUUUGUGGACAAUCCUGAGAUCCUGAGGGCCCACCUGCCUAUUGUAAUUGGAGGGAGUAUCUGAUGUUUUUAAGACAGUCAGUCUUACUCUGGCUAGCCUAGAAAUCACUAUGUAUACAAGGUCUGCCUCCUCCACUUGAAAUUAAAGAUGUGGGAUUAAAGCCAUACAACCCCAUGCCUGGCCAAUGAAGCAAUUUAUUUAUUUUUCUUUUUAAAGACUUAUUUUUAUUUUACGUGCAUAGGUAUGCUCACACAGGCCAGAAUAGCGUUGAAUCUCUCACUAUGGGAGUUAUAAAUCAUCACAUGGGUGAUGGGAACUGAACCUGAGUCCUCUUUAGAGCAGCAAGUUCUCCUAACCACUGAGCCAUCCCUCCAGCUCUAAACUCCCUUCUUGAGAAAUGCUAUAUAUCCUGAAUGAAAAAACCAAACACAAAACCUUAGCAUGAGUCUUAGUUCAGCAAAAUAGUAGAUGGGACACAGGCUCACAGACAAUGGCAGUGUGUAUCAACCAGGAUUUAUUCUUCAUAAUCUGAGCAUGUUGGCACAUGCAUGUUAUUUUAGUAUUCUGAGGCUAAGGCAGGAGGAUUGUCAUGAGUUUGAGGCCAUCUUUGGCUAAAGAGUGAAAUUCUAUUUUAAAAACCAAACAAACAAAAUAGAUUUAUUGUUCCUGGUGGUCUAGGUGUAACUGAGUGGGAAGUAUGUGAGGCUUUGAGUUCAUACACACACACACACACACACACACACACACAUAGACACACAGAUACAUACCCAGACACAUAUAUACACAUACAUACACACAGACACAUACAUAAAGAUACACACAGAGGCACGCACACAGACACACAUGCACACAGAUACACACGCACAUAGACACAUGCAGACGCAUACACACACAUACACACACACACAGACACACACAUAGACACACAGAUACACACUCAGACACAUAUAUACACAUACAUACACACAGACACACACAUAAAGAUACACACAGAGGCACGCACACAGACACACAUGCACACAGAUACACACGCACAUAGACACAUGCAGACGCAUACACACACAUACACACACACAAAGACACAGACACACAGAUACCCAUACACACACACAGAUACAUAUAUACACAUACAUACACAUACAUAUACACAGACACACACAUAGAGACAUGCACAGACACAUAUGCACACAGACACAUACAUACAGACACAUAUACACACACAGACACAGACAGACACAGACACACAGACACACACACACACACACACACACACACACACACACCCCACAGGGAUGAAGUGGAUUUACUAUUCUGAAAAGAUAACUUGGGGAAGGCAGUCUAUGUCUCAGUUGAGUUGAGUAGUGUAUAAGUCUUGUGAGGUCUGCUCAUGCAACCUCAUGGAGGAGGAAGGCGCCCAGUGUCUGAUUUCCCCAAGGAUUGUGAAAGGAAACGUGGGAAGGAGAGAUCUGCUGAUUCUCUAGGGACCAAUUAAACAGACUCUAAGGACGAAAGCAGAAAAGGUUCAGCAGAGUUAAGGCGAGGGGGAAAAGUAAUUUUGGGGAUAACAGCCGUCAAUUAUUUUCCGGCUCGAGUGUUUUUUCGAAGGGCAGAGGGCAAGAAGCGUCGUGCAUCCUCCAAAACGAGACACAUUUCAUCAUGGAGACGUUAGAAGCAAAUUUGGCGCCCAAGACAGGUGCCAGAUUUUAAUUACAGUUGGCAUUUCUGAGCAUGCUUUUGGCAGAGGUGGCCAUCCUGUUGGAAAAGCCAUAGAUUUUGACACUAGCAGUAUGGGAUACCCAGUUGAGAACGGUUGCAAAUAAUUUCCCUCUAGUUCCCAUCCUGGUGGUCGUGAGCAAAAACUUCAGUGGUUUGAAUUUAAACCAGGCAUUCUGUAUUUUAAAAAAAACAAAACAAAACCAAAAAACCAGUUGUCAGUUGGAACUGUGUUGGGAAUUUGGUGUGCUGGAUCUUGGGGUAAUAAUUUCUAUUUUAGAGCCAAAAAAGAAAAAAGGAAAAAAAAAAAGCCCACCACCAGUUAAAACAAUAAAACAGGAUAUUUCGUUACAAGAAAUGAAGUUGGCAUGCAUCGGGCUUUCUGUUAAGUUCCAGGUCACAGACAAAUAAAGAAAAGUAUGUUAUGGGGAAAAAUCCUUUUUAAAAAUAAUUAGGGAGCUGUCUGUUUUGUUCACCAGAUGGAAAACCCGUAGUUGUGGGUGGUCUGUGUGAAAGAGGGCACCUCGAGAUUGGCAGGACUAUGCCUUUAACUCUGUAGUCCUGAGACAAAAAUCCCAGCCCUACUGACUGUUCCCGAGGCUUCAGUGCACAGUAGUUCUGCAUGGCUCAGCCUCCCUGGCUUCUACCUGUUUUCUAAGAUGGGUGGGUAGGAGGUAGGUAGGUAGGUAGGUAGGUAGGUAGGUAGGUGACAUCUCUGCCGGGCUGAUGGUUUGCUGGUCUUUGGAUUCCGAAGCAGGAUUCUUGCCCAGGCAGGGUAUCAUUAUGAUGAUAAUCUGACUUGUGGGAUUGUCUGUGUGCUUUGUUGAAUGCUCCUAUUAUUACAUAUAUGACUCAGUGCAGAUAGCAAAGCAUAUUUCAUGUGGAUAACAGAGAAUAUCAUAAGAGUUGGGUACGGUGAGGCCGUGGUGACCUGGAGGCCAGCCUGGGUUCUGUGUGAGUACUGAACCAGCCAGGGCUGUAUAGCAUGACCUUGUCUUAAAAGGGAGGCAAGUUUGCUGGAAAGAUGGCUCAGUGGUUAAGAGUGUGUACUGCGGGCUGGAGGGAUGGCUCAGUGGUUAGGAGCACUGGCUGCUCUUCCAGAGGUCCUGAGUUCAAUUCCCAGCAACCACAUGGUGGCUCACAACCAUCUGUAAUGGGAUCUGAUGCCCUCUUCUGGUGUGUCUGAAGAUAGUUACAGUGUACUCAUAUACAUAAAAUAAAAUCUUUAAAAAAAAAAAAAAAAGAGUGUGUACUGCUCUUACAGAAGACCCACGUUCAGUUCCCAGCACUGGCAUAAGUCAACUCAAAAGCCCCAGGCACAUUCUCACUUGUGCAAUUAAAAAUAAAAAAUAAAUCUUUAAACAAGGGUGGCUGGGGAUAUGGCUUACUUGUUCAUGUGCCAUGUGUAAGCAUGAGAACCCGAGUUUGGUCCCAGGACCUCACAUGUGGUAGUGAAUGGUUAGAAUCUCAGCACUGGGGAGCUAGACACAGGCAGGUCCAGCCUAGUCCACUGGAGGUCAGUGAGAGAAGCUGUCUUGCAGGCUCCUGAGUUUUCCUGGCCUCUGCAAACACAUGUGUGGCUAGUAAAGGCAGUUGCACCAUUUCUGAAACUUAGAAUCACAGUGGGCAUUGUAGUGAAAUUUACUCUCACUGCCUUCUUCUAUUAAUAAUAGAAAAUGAGUCAUGUAGCUUCACUGGUAGCUUUUUUUUUAAUGAGCAGUUUUUACAUAUGCAUGGAAGUGAUUUUUUUUUCUUCCCAGCUCAGUCUUUUAUGUCAUGUGGUUUUACGUCUGCAGAUUGGACUUCGGAAUGUCCUGUACUUGAACAUAAGGACACAUAUAUGUUUAUAUUCAUAUUUCAUUCAUAAAUCUACCCAACCUCCCCAAUUAAAACUACUAACAAUUAGAGGAGAGUUACAUUAGUAAAACUCGUCUGGAGUGCCCAAGCACACAUAUUUUCAAGUUGAAUGGGAUGGGGUGGCUUUUCUAGGACAGCAGCAUGGUGUCUAGUUUGAAUGGACAUGGAUCCUACUCAAGUGUAGUGCAGUGAUGAUCAGCUCCCUGUCCCCGCACAGACGCUGCACAGUCUGUCCUGUUUCUGGGCACUAAACAAUAGGUUUUUUUUUUCCAAACCGUAAUUUCACUCACGCUUUCAGUUGCAUUCGGUGAAGCUCCAUUUAUAGCAGCCUUUGUGGCUGUUGCCAGCUCACUUCAAGCUAAGACAAUCAUGCACAGAGAUCAGUUUUAACUAAAGUACUAUUACACCAGUGUGAUAGGCCAAGUGUAGCCUGUGAAUAACAGGAGCAUCCUGAAAACCCAUGUCAAGAGGGUAGAAAAGCUAGCUGGCGUAACAGUAAGGAGGCAGUUUCUUUGGGAGAUUUUACGAAUUUGCCACAGAAGGUGGGAAGGGCAGAGACAAUUUGAAACAUUGUUUCUGAACAUUACAGGAUUCUUUAUGCAGCAGAGAAUCAACAGAGGGCAACAGUAGCAGCCUCAGGUGUUAGCUAGGGAGACUCUCCUUACCCAGCAACAUAGAAACUGUCAUCAUAUUGGCAUAUCCUGGGGCAGUGAAAUGGCUUUGUGGGUAAAGGUGCCUGCUGCCAAGCCUGACAACCUGAGUUCGAUCCCUAGAAGGGGAAAACCAGCUCCCACAAGUUGUACUUUGGCCUCCACAUAUCAUGUGGAACACACACACACACACACACACACACACACACACACACACACACACUCACACACACACACUCACAGGAGAAAACCCUCCAUGACCUUGUUGUGUCCUUUACAUUUGGACCCCAGC